rnacentral:rRNA from 1 species
GCUAGCAAUAGAAAAGUUGAAGCGAAGCGAGAGGGAGAGAGCAGCACAAAGAAGCUGAAGGUCACCAUGGGGGUGGAGACCCUUGACUGCCCCAUCUGCUAUGAGCACCUCAGGCCUCCGAUAUUCCAGUGCUCUGUGGGGCAUUUUAUAUGCUCGCCUUGCUGUGUGAAGCUGGACAAGAAAUGUCCGGUGUGCUCUAUCGAAACUUCCUUCAAGCGCUGCUUUGGGAUGGAACAUGUCGUCCAAGAAGCCAAAGUUGCUUGCUCCAAUGACAAGUAUGGAUGUGCGGAGGUGGUCACCUACUACAAGAAAGAAGAACACAAGAAGGCGUGCCAGUAUGUCCCAUGCUUCUGCCCACAGUCUGGUUGUGGCUUCGCUGGAUCAACAAAGGUGCUCCUGGACCAUUUCAUUACCCAACACAAGUGUUCGUCAACAACUCUCCCAGACUCCCGCACGGUGUCUCUUCGCCUACAACCAGGCUUACAUGUUCUGCGAUGCACCGGCUACUUUUUCUUGCUCAGCAUGGCAUCAGAGCCUUUUGGACAUGCCAUCUCAGUCCUCUGCGUCCAACCUCCAAUAGUUAUGGAACCCAAGUUCAAAUGUAAUAUGGAAUACGACUGCUUAACCACCAGCUCUUGUGAAAGUACAAAUUGCCUCAUAAGAAGCUCUUCUCUCUCUGAUGGACUGCCCGCAGUGUACGAUUUAAUAAUUCCCAAGGGAAAGAUUUCUGAUGAUGGAAACGGUAUCAUGCUCAGAGCCACCAUU